GAUGAACGCUGGCGGCGUGCCUAAUACAUGCAAGUCGAGCGAACAGACGAGGAGCUUGCUCCUCUGACGUUAGCGGCGGACGGGUGAGUAACACGUGGAUAACCUACCUAUAAGACUGGGAUAACUUCGGGAAACCGGAGCUAAUACCGGAUAACAUGUUGAACCGCAUGGUUCAACAGUGAAAGACGGUCUUGCUGUCACUUAUAGAUGGAUCCGCGCCGCAUUAGCUAGUUGGUAAGGUAACGGCUUGCCAAGGCAACGAUGCGUAGCCGACCUGAGAGGGUGAUCGGCCACACUGGAACUGAGACACGGUCCAGACUCCUACGGGAGGCAGCAGUAGGGAAUCUUCCGCAAUGGGCGAAAGCCUGACGGAGCAACGCCGCGUGAGUGAAGAAGGUCUUCGGAUCGUAAAACUCUGUUAUUAGGGAAGAACAAAUGUGUAAGUAACGAUGCACGUCUUGACGGUACCUAAUCAGAAAGCCACGGCUAACUACGU
rnacentral:rRNA from 1 species